rnacentral:rRNA from 1 species
UACGUAGGGUGCGAGCGUUGUCCGGAAUUAUUGGGCGUAAAGGGCUCGUAGGCGGUCUGUUGCGUCGGGAGUGAAAACUCAGGGCUUAACCCUGAGCCUGCUUCCGAUACGGGCAGACUAGAGGUAUGCAGGGGAGAACGGAAUUCCUGGUGUAGCGGUGAAAUGCGCAGAUAUCAGGAGGAACACCGGUGGCGAAGGCGGUUCUCUGGGCCUUACCUGACGCUGAGGAGCGAAAGCAUGGGGAGCAAACAGG